rnacentral:rRNA from 1 species
GCCCAGUCGUAAUACACAAUUAAAUUACCAAUUGUCCGCCAAACAACUACGAGUUACACUUAAAACUUAAAAGACUUGACGGUACUUCACCACAACCUAGAGGAGCCUGUCUAAUAACCGAUAAUCCACGAUUAAUCUCACCCUUUCUUGCCCAACAGUCUAUAUACCGCCGUCGCCAGCCUACCUUGUAAAAGAAAUAAAGUAAGCCAAACAGUACUACACUAAAACGACAGGUCGAGGUGUAACCAAUGAAAGGGACUAAGAUGGGCUACAUUCUCCAACCGAGAAUACGAACAGCACUAUGAAACAAGUGCCCGAAGGCGGAUUUAGCAGUAAGAUAAGAAUAAAACACUUAACUGAACACAACGCAAUGAAGUGCGUACACACCGCCCGUCAUCCCUGUUACCAAAACAUCCAAUAUUAAUAAACCAACGAAAGAACCAAGCAGGGCAAGUCGUAACAUGGUAAGUGUACUGGAAAGUGUACUUAGAAA